CGAGGAACCUUACCUGGCUUAAAUGUAGAGUGCAUUUUUAGAGAUAGAAAUUCCCUUCGGGCUUUCUGCAAGGUGCUGCAUGGUUGUCGUCAGCUCGUGCCGUGAGGUGUCGGGUUAAGUCCCAUAACGAGCGCAACCCUUAUCGUUAGUUGCCAGCUGGUAAAGCAGGGGACUCUAGCGAAACUGCCACCGUAAGGUGAGAGGAAGGUGGGGAUGACGUCAAAUCAGCACGGCCCUUAUGUCCAGGGCUACACACGUGUUACAAUGGCCGGCACAGAGGGCAGCUACCUGGUGACAGGAUGCUAAUCUCGAAAACCGGUCUCAGUUCGGAUCGAAGUCUGCAACUCGACUUCGUGAAGCUGGAUUCGCUAGUAAUCGCGGAUCAGCAUGCCGCGGUGAAUACGUUCCCGGGCCUU
rnacentral:rRNA from 1 species